GACGAACGCUGGCGGCGUGCCUAAUACAUGCAAGUUGAGCGAUGAAGAUUGGUGCUUGCACCAAUUUGAAGAGCAGCGAACGGGUGAGUAACGCGUGGGGAAUCUGCCUUUGAGCGGGGGACAACAUUUGGAAACGAAUGCUAAUACCGCAUAAAAACUUUAAACAUAAGUUUUAAGUUUGAAAGAUGCAAUUGCAUCACUCAAAGAUGAUCCCGCGUUGUAUUAGCUAGUUGGUGAGGUAAAGGCUCACCAAGGCGAUGAUACAUAGCCGACCUGAGAGGGUGAUCGGCCACAUUGGGACUGAGACACGGCCCAAACUCCUACGGGAGGCAGCAGUAGGGAAUCUUCGGCAAUGGACGAAAGUCUGACCGAGCAACGCCGCGGGAGUGAAGAAGGUUUUCGGAUCGUAAAACUCUGUUGGUAGAGAAGAACGUUGGUGAGAGUGGAAAGCUCAUCAAGUGACGGUAACUACCCAGAAAGGGACGGCUAACUACGUG
rnacentral:rRNA from 1 species